AAACCAUGCAUCGGGCAUUUUCUAAUCAAUUCCUUGAAUCACUCUCAAGCUUUAUACAAUGUCUCAUCUUCAGAUUAUCGAAAAGAUGUAAUAGCGUUCCUCAAUUU
rnacentral:snoRNA from 1 species